UACGGAGGAUCCAAGCGUUAUCCGGAUUUAUUGGGUUUAAAGGGUGCGUAGGCGGGAGAUUAAGUCAGUGGUGAAAGUUUGCAGCUCAACUGUAAAAUUGCCAUUGAAACUGAUUUUCUUGAGUGUAAAUGAGGUAGGCGGAAUGUGUUGUGUAGCGGUGAAAUGCUUAGAUAUAACACAGAACACCAAUUGCGAAGGCAGCUUACUGGGAUACAACUGACGCUGAGGCACGAAAGCGUGGGGAUCAAACAGG
rnacentral:rRNA from 1 species